UACGAAGGGGGCUAGCGUUGUUCGGAAUUACUGGCGUAAAGCGCACGUAGGCGGACUAUUAAGUCAGGGGUGAAAUCCCGGGGCUCAACCCCGGAACUGCCUUUGAUACUGGUAGUCUCGAGUCCGGAAGAGGUGAGUGGAAUUCCGAGUGUAGAGGUGAAAUUCGUAGAUAUUCGGAGGAACACCAGUGGCGAAGGCGGCUCACUGGUCCGGUACUGACGCUGAGGUGCGAAAGCGUGGGGAGCAAACAGGG
rnacentral:rRNA from 1 species